rnacentral:rRNA from 1 species
AUACGAAGGGGGCUAGCGUUGUUCGGAAUUACUGGGCGUAAAGGGUGCGUAGGUGGCCUUUUAAGUCAGGGGUGAAAUCCCGGGGCUCAACCUCGGAACUGCCUUUGAUACUGGGUGUCUAGAGUGUGGAAGAGGUAAGUGGAAUUCCGAGUGUAGAGGUGAAAUUCGUAGAUAUUCGGAGGAACACCAGUGGCGAAGGCGGCUUACUGGUCCAUUACUGACGCUGAGGUGCGAAAGCGUGGGAGC